CGACUACAUCAUGUUGAAACUCCGAUUCCUGUACAAUCACUGAAGUUAAGCAACGACGAACCUGGUUAGUACUUAGUUAGGUGAUCACUUGAGAAUACAAGGUGCUGUAAG